UACGGAGGAUGCGAGCGUUAUCCGGAAUCAUUGGGUUUAAAGGGUGCGUAGGCUGGUAUUUAAGUCAGUGGUGAAAUUUUCGUGCUUAACAUGAGGGCUGCCAUUGAUACUGGAUACCUUGAGUGUAUUUGAUGUGGGCGGAAUGUGUUGUGUAGCGGUGAAAUGCAUAGAUAUGACACAGAACACCGAUAGCGAAGGCAGCUCACAAAGUUACAACUGACGCUGAUGCACGAAAGCGUGGGGAUCAAACAGG
rnacentral:rRNA from 1 species